AAAGUUGAGGCAAAGAAGAACGAGUUGAUUGUUACCUGAAAAAAGCACUCGCGGGAAGCUAAAGUUGGUUGCCACAACUCCAACUUGGCAGUCUUUGUAUAUUAUUUCUUCAUGUUUUUGCAUGCUUCGUGUUGGUGUAGGCUCAAACCCCUUUUCCCCCAUGUUUAUUAUGCUUGUACGUUUGUAAUUUGACAAAAAAUAGUGAAAUUCAGGGUUAUGGUUUCAGUGGGUUAAAGGUGUCCAUCUGCUCACUAUGUUUUUUUGUUUUUAUUUUUUAUAUUGAUUUUUGUUUAUGAGGUUAAAAUGACUAGGGUUAAUGUUUACGAUUUUCGAAUUUGAGGGGGUUUAGGAGUUUCCUGGGAAAACUCAGACGAAG
rnacentral:lncRNA from 1 species